rnacentral:sRNA from 1 species
ACUUAGCCAAAAAACACUAUGUGAGGAAAGAAGACGAUUGCUACCUAUGCACAAUUUUAAAUUAGGUUUAAACAUCGCCACUAUAAAACAUUAGGUAAGUUUUAGUACGUAGGUAUGCUGAAUCUUCAACUUGUUCGAGUGAAUUCUUUAUGGCAACU